GAUGAACGCUGGCGGCGUGCCUAAUACAUGCAAGUCGAGCGAACAGACGAGGAGCUUGCUCCUCUGACGUAGCGGCGGAAGGGUGAGUAACCCGUGGAUAACCUACCUAUAAGACUGGGAUAACUUCGGGAAACCGGAGCUAAUACCGGAAAAUAUAUUGAACCGCAUGGUUCAAUAGUGAAAGACGGUUUUGCUGUCACUUAUAGAUGGAUCCGCGCCGCAUUAGCUAGUUGGUAAGGUAACGGCUUACCAAGGCAACGAUGCGUAGCCGACCUGAGAGGGUGAUCGGCCACACUGGAACUGAGACACGGUCCAGACUCCUACGGGAGGCAGCAGUAGGGAAUCUUCCGCAAUGGGCGAAAGCCUGACGGAGCAACGCCGCGUGAGUGAUGAAGGUCUUCGGAUCGUAAAACUCUGUUAUUAGGGAAGAUCAAAUGUGUAAGUAACUAUGCACGUCUUGACGGUACCUAAUCAGAAAGCCACGGCUAACUACGUG
rnacentral:rRNA from 1 species